rnacentral:rRNA from 1 species
CUAACACAUGCAAGUCGAACGGUAACAGGUCUUCGGAUGCUGACGAGUGGCGCACGGGUGAGUAACGCGUGGAUAUCUGCCUAUUAGUGGGGGACAACUUGUGGAAACGCAAGCUAAUACCGCAUAAUCCCUACGGGGGAAAGCAGGGGACCUUCGGGCCUUGUGCUGAUAGAUGAGUCCGCGUCUGAUUAGCUAGUUGGUAGGGUAAAGGCCUACCAAGGCGAUGAUCAGUAUCUGGUUUGAGAGGAUGAUCAGACACACUGGAACUGAGACACGGUCCAGACUUCUACGGAAGGCAGCAGUGGGGAAUAUUGCACAAUGGGCGCAAGCCUGAUGCAGCGACGCCGCGUGUGGGAAGAAGGCUUUAGGGUUGUAAACCACUUUCAAUUGGGAAGAAGAGAUGAGUGUUAAUAACAUUCUGAUUUGACGGUACCUUUAGAAGAAGCACCGGCUAAUUUCGUGCCAGCAGCCGCGGUAAUACGAAAGGUGCAAGCGUUGUUCGGAUUUACUGGGCGUAAAGAGAGUGUAGGUUGUUUAUUAAGUCGGAUGUGAAAUCCCGGGGCUCAACCUCGGAACUGCAUUCGAUACUGGUAGACUAGAGUUCGGGAGGGGUAAGCGGAAUUCCGUGUGUAGCAGUGAAAUGCGUAGAUAUACGGAGGAACACCUGAGGCGAAGGCGGCUUACUGGACCGAUACUGACACUGAGACUCGAAAGCGUGGGUAGCAAACAGGAUUAGAUACCCUGGUAGUCCACGCCCUAAACGAUGUCAACUAGCCGUUGCGGGUAUCGACCCCUGCAGUGGCGAAGCUAACGCGAUAAGUUGACCGCCUGGGGAGUAC